CCAAGUCAAAAAUUCCAUUCAUAUUCAUUCAAGAGAAUUACAUGUUACGCAAAGUCCCCAAAUCCCAUUAGAAGUGUGAAGCUAUUUUAUUUGGAAUUAUCACUACAAAUUUACAAGAGGGAUUACAAGUUUGCACAGAAAAAUCAAAACUAUAAUUCUAAUGUCCUAAAGCUUCAUGCUUCAAACAUGUUGUCCAUUUUCCAGCCAUGUUUCAACAUAAUAACAGUCCCAUUUUUGUGGUACUUUUGCAGUCCAAAUAGCAACUUCAGAUCAUUACAAAUAGUAACCUACAGAUCAGUCCAAAUUCUGCAAACAAAACUACUAUAA